UACGUAGGGCGCAAGCGUUAUCCGGAAUUAUUGGGCGUAAAGAGCUCGUAGGCGGUUUGUCGCGUCUGCCGUGAAAGCCCCGGGCUCAACCUGGGAAUGGCAAUGGAAACUGGCGAGCUUGAGUGUGGCAGAGGGGGGUGGAAUUCCGCGUGUAGCAGUGAAAUGCGUAGAGAUGCGGAGGAACACCGAUGGCGAAGGCAGCCCCCUGGGCCAACACUGACGCUCAGGCACGAAAGCGUGGGGAGCAAACAGG
rnacentral:rRNA from 1 species